rnacentral:rRNA from 1 species
GAUGAACGCUGGCGGCGAGCCUAAUACAUGCAAGUCGAGCGAACAGACGAGGAGCUUGCUCCUCUGACGUUAGCGGCGGACGGGUGAGUAACACGUGGAUAACCUACCUAUAAGACUGGGAUAACUUCGGGAAACCGGAGCUAAUACCGGAUAAUAUAUUGAACCGCAUGGUUCAAUAGUGAAAGACGGUUUUGCUGUCACUUAUAGAUGGAUCCGCGCCGCAUUAGCUAGUUGGUAAGGUAACGGCUUACCAAGGCAACGAUGCGUAGCCGACCUGAGAGGGUGAUCGGCCACACUGGAACUGAGACACGGUCCAGACUCCUACGGGAGGCAGCAGUAGGGAAUCUUCCGCAAUGGGCGAAAGCUUGACGGAGCAACGCCGCGUGAGUGAUGAAGGUCUUCGGAUCGUAAAACUCUGUUAUUAGGGAAGAACAAAUGUGUAAGUAACUAUGCACGUCUUGACGGUACCUAAUCAGAAAGCCACGGCUAACUACGUG